rnacentral:rRNA from 1 species
GUCCUUGCCGUAAACGAUGUAUACUUGGUGUAGCUGGGCUCAACCCUAGCUGUGCCGGAGCUAACGCGUUAAGUAUACCGCCUGGGGAGUACGCUCGCAAGGGUGAAACUCAAAAGAAUUGACGGGGACCCGCACAAGCAGUGGAGCAUGUGGUUUAAUUCGAUGCAACGCGAAGAACCUUACCCAGACUUGACAUGCAGUGGACAGUACCAGAAAUGGUAUCUCCCUUCGGGGCCGCUGCACAGGUGCUGCAUGGCUGUCGU